GAGCAAACAGGAUUAGAUACCUUGGUAGUCCAGGCCGUAAACGAUGAAUGCCAGAUGUUGGGGUGCUUGCACCUCAGUAGUGCAGCUAAAGCUUUGAGCAUUCCACAUGGGGAGGUACGGUCGCAAGAUUAAAACUCAAAGGAAUUGACGGGGGCCCGCACAAGCGGUGGAGCAUGUUGGUUUAAUUCGAAGCAACGCGCAGAACCUUACCAUCCUUUGACAUGGCGUGUUAUGGGGAGAGAUUACCAGUCCACUUCGGUGGCGCGCACACAGGUGCUGCAUGACUGUAGUCAGCUCGUGUCGUGAGAUGUUGGGUUAAGUCCCGCAACGAGCGCAACCCACGUCUUUAGUUGCCAUCAUUCAGUUGGGCACUCUAGGGAGACUGCCGGUGAUAAGCCGCGAGGAAGGUGUGGAUGACGUCAAGUCCUCAUGGCCCUUACGGGAUGGGCUACACACGUGCUACAAUGGCGGUGACAGUGGGACGCGAAGGGGCGACCUUGAGCAAAUCCCCAAAAACCGUCUCAGUUCGGAUUGCACUCUGCAACUCGGGUGCAUGAAGGCGGAAUCGCUAGUAAUUGUGGAUCAGCACGCCACAGUGAAUAAGUUCCCGGGCCUUGUACACACCGCGCCGUCACACCAUGGGAGUUGGUCUUACCCGACGGCGGUGCGCCAACCGCAAGGGGGCAGGCGACCACGG
rnacentral:rRNA from 1 species